AGAGUUUGAUCCUGGCUCAGGAUGAACGCUAGCGGCAGGCUUAAUACAUGCAAGUCGUACGGGAUCCGAGGUAGCAAUACUUUGGUGAGAGUGGCGCACGGGUGCGUAACACGUAUGCAACCUACCUUUAACCGGGACACAACCUCGAGAAAUUGAGGCUAAUAUCCCAUAACACUGCGAAGUGGCAUCACUAUGCAGUUAAAACUCCGGUGGUUAUAGAUGGGCAUGCGCGACAUUAGCUAGUUGGUGAGGUAACGGCCCACCAAGGCUACGAUGUCUAGGGGUUCUGAGAGGAUUAUCCCCCACACUGGUACUGAGACACGGACCAGACUCCUAC
rnacentral:rRNA from 1 species